UUUAUGGAGAGUUUGAUCCUGGCUCAGGAUGAACGCUGGCGGCGUGCCUAAUACAUGCAAGUCGAGCGAACAGAUAAGGAGCUUGCUCCUUUGACGUUAGCGGCGGACGGGUGAGUAACACGUGGGUAACCUACCUAUAAGACUGGGAUAACUUCGGGAAACC
rnacentral:rRNA from 1 species